CAGGGAUUGCCUCAGUAACGGCGAGUGAAGCGGCAACAGCUCAAAUUUGAAAUCUGACCCCGUCCGGGGCCCGAGUUGUAAUUUGUAGAGAGUGCUUCGGGCGUGGCCUAGGUCUAAGUUCCUUGGAACAGGGCGUCAUAGAGGGUGAGAAUCCCGUAUGUGACCGGCGAUCCAGCCCAUGUGAAGCCCCUUCGACGAGUCGAGUUGUUUGGGAAUGCAGCUCAAAAUGGGUGGUAAAUUUCAUCUAAAGCUAAAUACCGGCUAGAGACCGAUAGCGAACAAGUAGAGUGAUCGAAAGAUGAAAAGCACUUUGAAAAGAGAGUUAAACAGUACGUGAAAUUGUUGAAAGGGAAGCGCUUGCAAUCAGACCUGUCCAUGGGGGACCUCCGAUAUUCGUAUCGGUUCUACCCUCGCCCAUGAUCAGGCCAGCAUCGGUUUGGGCGGCGGGAUAAAAGCCCCUGGAAUGUAGCUUCUCUCGGGGAGUCUUAUAGCCUAGGGUGGAAUGCCGCCCGCCUGGACCGAGGACCGCGCUUCGGCUAGGAUGCUGGCGUAAUGGUUGCAAGCGACCCGUCUUGAAACACGGACCAAGGAGUCUAACAUCUAUGCGAGUGUUUGGGUGUUAAACCCGGGCGCGAAAUGAAAGUGAACGGAGGUGGGAGCCCGUCAAACGGCGCACCAUCGACCGAUCCAGAUGUCUUCGGAUGGAUUUGAGUAUGAGCAUACCUGUUGGGACCCCAAAGAUGGUGAACUAUGCCUGAAUAGGGUGAAGCCAGAGGAAACUCUGGUGGAGGCUCGCAGCGGUUCUGACGUGCAAAUCGAUCGUCGAAUUUGGGCAUAGGGGCGAAAGACUAAUCGAACCAUCU
rnacentral:rRNA from 1 species